rnacentral:tRNA from 1 species
AGAAGCGUGCCCGAAUCACAAGGGCUAUUUUGAUAAAAUAGAUACAGAGACUAAACCUCUCGCUUCUU